rnacentral:rRNA from 1 species
AUUGAACGCUGGCGGCAUGCUUUACACAUGCAAGUCGAACGGUAACAGGCCGCAAGGUGCUGACGAGUGGCGAACGGGUGAGUAAUGCAUCGGAACGUGCCCAGUCGUGGGGGAUAACGCAGCGAAAGCUGCGCUAAUACCGCAUACGAUCUAUGGAUGAAAGCGGGGGAACGUAAGGCCUCGCGCGACCGGAGCGGCCGAUGUCAGAUUAGGUAGUUGGUGGGGUAAAGGCUCACCAAGCCAACGAUCUGUAGCUGGUCUGAGAGGACGACCAGCCACACUGGGACUGAGACACGGCCCAGACUCCUACGGUAGGCAGCAGUGGGGAAUUUUGGACAAUGGGCGCAAGCCUGAUCCAGCAAUGCCGCGUGCAGGAAGAAGGCCUUCGGGUUGUAAACUGCUUUUGUACGGAACGAAACGGCUCUCUCUAAUACAGGGGGUUAAUGACGGUACCGUAAGAAUAAGCACCGGCUAACUACGUGCCAGCAGCCGCAGUAACAC